UCACGGUUUGCACCGGCAGUCUUGCUAGAGUUCCCGACUUGACUCGCUGGCAACUAACAACAGGGGUUGCGCUCGUUAUAGGACUUAACCUGACACCUCACGGCACGAGCUGACGACAACCAUGCAGCACCUUGUAAUCUGUCCGAAGAAAAAACUGUUUCCAGUCCUGUCAGACUACAUUUAAGCCUUGGUAAGGUUCCUCGCGUAUCAUCGAAUUAAACCACAUGCUCCACCGCUUGUGCGGGCCCCCGUCAAUUCCUUUGAGUUUCAAACUUGCGUUCGUACUCCCCAGGUGGGAUACUUAUCACUUUCGCUUAGCCACCCAACCUUGCGGUCGGACAGCUAGUAUCCAUCGUUUACGGCGUGGACUAC
rnacentral:misc_RNA from 1 species